rnacentral:rRNA from 1 species
UACGUAGGGUGCGAGCGUUGUCCGGAAUUAUUGGGCGUAAAGGGCUCGUAGGCGGUUUGUCGCGUCGGGAGUGAAAACCAGGUGCUUAACACCUGGCUUGCUUUCGAUACGGGCAGACUAGAGGCAUGCAGGGGAGAACGGAAUUCCUGGUGUAGCGGUGGAAUGCGCAGAUAUCAGGAGGAACACCGAUGGCGAAGGCAGAUCUCUGGGCCGUAACUGACGCUGAGGAGCGAAAGCGUGGGGAGCGAACAGG